GUUGUUGUUGUUGUUAUUUUACAACCACAAAUAGAGAAAAAAAAAAGAAUUAGAAGUAUAAAUUCAAGCAUGCAAGAGAGUUUUUUGUUGGUUAAGGAUAAUCUGUAGACAUUAUGACUGAAGGUGCACAUAAGCACUCACUCAUCAACUGAAUUACUGAAGUGCAUAGAUGAAACUAAGCAGUACAAAAUCUACUAUGCUAAAGACAACACAUAUAGGAUUUUUCUUAAUGUUUAUUCAAACCACUUGGAUUUCAUCUCUGUAAAUGAAAGUAACGGGGAGCAAUUAGACGAGCAUACUAACUUGGCAUGCCAAAUAGGUCCACUUUGAGACACAAGAGCACUGAAAUGAAUGAUCACAUAGUGUACUCUGUAUUCCGCUUGUAUCUUGGUCCAAUCUUUCUGAAAAUUUCAACAUGAAUUGCAAAAGUUAUCAAUAUAACAUAUAAACAAAUGUACAAAAAACAACAACAACAACAACAACAACAACCCAGUAUACUCCCACAUAGUGGGGUCUGGGGAGGGUAGUAUGUACGCAGACCUUACCUCUACCCU
rnacentral:lncRNA from 1 species